UAGGGAAUCUUCCACAAUGGACGCAAGUCUGAUGGAGCAACGCCGCGUGAGUGAAGAAGGCUUUCGGGUCGUAAAACUCUGUUGUUGGAGAAGAAUGGUCGGCAGAGUAACUGUCGUCGGCGUGACGGUAUCCAACCAGAAAGCCACGGCUAACUACGUGCCAGCAGCCGCGGUAAUACGUAGGUGGCAAGCGUUAUCCGGAUUUAUUGGGCGUAAAGCGAGCGCAGGCGGUUUUUUAAGUCUGAUGUGAAAGCCCUCGGCUUAACCGAGGAAGUGCAUCGGAAACUGGGAAACUUGAGUGCAGAAGAGGACAGUGGAACUCCAUGUGUAGCGGUGAAAUGCGUAGAUAUAUGGAAGAACACCAGUGGCGAAGGCGGCUGUCUGGUCUGUAACUGACGCUGAGGCUCGAAAGCAUGGGUAGCGAACAGGAUUAAAGUACCCUGGUAGUCCAUGCCGUAAACGAU
rnacentral:rRNA from 1 species